AAUAAAAGAAAGAAAAAAGGAAAAAAAAAAGAAAAAAGAAAAUUCUACUACCUUCAAACGUCUUCCUUUUUUUCUUUCGUAAAUAAAAAAAAAAAUCAUACAUUUUCACGGCGACUUUGCUUCAUGGUUCCCUUUGCACACGUUUUCUCCCCAGGAUAGGAAUUGUUCCUCUGUUCCUCUGUUUCUCUGUUUCUCUGUUCCAUUGUCUCGUUUGGGAGGAGAAAAAGGACAAAACAAAGGAGGAAAGCCGAAACAAACAACUCGUCGAAACCCUGAUUUUGUUUGAACUUUCUUUUUCUUUUCUUUUCAGGUGGAAGGACCCAAAUAAAACAAAAGAAAGAAAAGAAUAGAUGUACAAAAGUGUUUGUGUCGCACGUUAUGGUUCGUAUGUAUGUAGA
rnacentral:ribozyme from 1 species